rnacentral:rRNA from 1 species
AUUCGCGGCGGACGGGUGAGUAAUGCCUAGGAAUCUGCCUGGUAGUGGGGGACAACGUUUCGAAAGGAACGCUAAUACCGCAUACGUCCUACGGGAGAAAGCAGGGGACCUUCGGGCCUUGCGCUAUCAGAUGAGCCUAGGUCGGAUUAGCUAGUUGGUGGGGUAAUGGCUCACCAAGGCGACGAUCCGUAACUGGUCUGAGAGGAUGAUCAGUCACACUGGAACUGAGACACGGUCCAGACUCCUACGGGAGGCAGCAGUGGGGAAUAUUGGACAAUGGGCGAAAGCCUGAUCCAGCCAUGCCGCGUGUGUGAAGAAGGUCUUCGGAUUGUAAAGCACUUUAAGUUGGGAGGAAGGGCAGUAAGCUAAUACCUUGCUGUUUUGACGUUACCGACAGAAUAAGCACCGGCUAACUCUGUGCCAGCAGCCGCGGUAAUACAGAGGGUGCAAGCGUUAAUCGGAAUUACUGGGCGUAAAGCGCGCGUAGGUGGUUCGUUAAGUUGGAUGUGAAAGCCCCGGGCUCAACCUGGGAAAUGCAUCCAAAACUGGCGAGCUAGAGUACGGUAGAGGGUGGUGGAAUUUCCUGUGUAGCGGUGAAAUGCGUAGAUAUAGGAAGGAACACCAGUGGCGAAGGCGACCACCCGGACUGAUACUGACACUGAGGUGCGAAAGCGUGGGGAGCAAACAGGAUUAGAUACCCUGGUAGUCCACGCCGUAAACGAUGUCAACUAGCCGUUGGAAUCCUUGAGAUUUUAGUGGCGCAGCUAACGCAUUAAGUUGACCGCCUGGGGAGUACGGCCGCAAGGUUAAAAAUCAAAUGAAUUGACGGGGGCCCGCACAAGCGGUGGAGCAUGUGGUUUAAUUUGAAGCAACGCGAAGAACCUUACCAGGCCUUGACAUGCAGAGAACUUCCAGAGAUGGAUUGGGCCUC